rnacentral:lncRNA from 1 species
CCAAAAUCAUCAACAUGUGAUUUACCAGUGAAUCAGCCUGAAUUUGCUCCCUUCAAGAAGAAUGGUGCCUGUAUGUAAAAAUCACAAAGCAUGCACCGUUGGUGGCACUUGGUGGCUUAUUCAUUAUUCUGUUUGGUAGAUUGGAGAGGCAGAAGAAUAAAAAGAGUUAUUGUUCUCAUUUCCAUGUGAUUUGACUCAGGCAUGUUUAAAGAGUAGCUCUUGUACCAGGGAAAUGAAGAUUUGAUCCUGCACUGCUCUUAAGGGCAGCAAAGGACCAUAAGCAAUUCUCCAAUGGUGAAGAUCGACCCCAGUCAUGUAAAAACACGAGGCAACACAUUUCACUUUUGCUUAAGAAGGAUCUUGCAGAAAGUGAAGAAGAGCAGGAAUAGAGAAGACAUUUGAAUGACGACUGAUGUUCUCUUCUUUGGCCUGAGGUUUUAGAACACAUUCACUGCCUGAUCACUGUGGCCCAGAAGCCAUGGCCUCUGCUGAGAGAUAGGGACCCCAUGUUCCCUCUACACAUCUUCUUCCCCAAAGCCUCUCUGAGGCUCCUAUGUUCAAAGAAACAGUCCUCUGGCAAUGGCCUGGUCCUUUCUGCCAUACCAAAGAAAGUUGUUUUUUGUUUUGAGCAAGAGAUCACUUCUGAUUUUCCUACCUUUGACAUGGACCAGACUAAUUGACAAAUUCUAGAAGGACAGACACUUCCAAACGUCUCUUGACAUACUGGCUUCACAAAGGUUAGGAAAGCUGUUAUGGGGAGGACGGAGCCUUUCUCCUCUUCCUGAGAACGUUUGAAGAAGAAAGGGGCUACUGAGAAGUCUGGUAGAUUCAGCAGCUAGUAAAUAUCGUGUCUAAAUGGGCAUCUUUUAUUAAACUCUGAGGCAGGGUUGGUGUGUUAGGCCAUUCUUUCUUGCUAUAAAGAAAUAUCUGAGACUGGGUAACUUAUAAAGAACAGAGGUUUAAUUGGCUCAUGGUUCUGCAGGCUGCACAGAAAGCAUAAUGACAUCUUCUUCUGGCUAGGCCUCUGGAAGCUUCCAAUGAUGGUGGAAGGCGAAGAGGGAACUUGCGCAUCACAUGGCAAAAGCAGGAGCAAGAGAGAGGCGAGGAGGUGCCGCACACUUUUAAAAGACCAGAUCUCAUGAAAACUCACUAUUGUGAGGACAGCACCAAGAGGAUCGUGCUAAAUUAUUCAAGAGAAAUCCUCCCCCAUGAUCCAGUCACCUCCCACCAGGCCCCACCUCCAACAUUGGGGAUUACAUUUCAACAUGAGAUUUGGAUGGAAACACAUUCAAGCUUUAUCAGCCCAGCUCCGGGAGUUCUUAAACUCAUAAGAAUCUAUGAGCUCCCAGAUUUAUGGGCCUUGAAAUAGACUUUAAUGUCAACUCCACAAAAGCAGGG